rnacentral:rRNA from 1 species
GAUGAACGCUGGCGGCGUGCCUAAUACAUGCAAGUCGAACGCAUUGAGAGAAGUGCUUGCACUUUUCAAUUUGAGUGGCGAACGGGUGAGUAACACGUGGGCAACCUACCUGAUAGCGGGGGAUAACGAGUGGAAACAUUCGCUAAUACCGCAUAACAAUAGAGAAGGCAUCUUCUUUAUCUAAAAGGCGCUUUCAAGCGUCACUAUCAGAUGGGCCCGCGGUGCAUUAGUUAGUUGGUGGGGUGAAGGCCUACCAAGACGAUGAUGCAUAGCCGAGUUGAGAGAAUGAUCGGGCACAUUGGGACUGAGACACGGCGCAAACUCCUACGGGGGGCUGCAGUAGGGAAUCUUCCACAAUGGACGAAAGUCUGAUGGAGCAACGCCGCGUGUGUGAUGAAGGCUUUCGGGUCGUAAAGCACUGUUGUAUGGGAAGAAAUGCUAGGCUAGGAAAUGAGCUUAGUUUGACGGUACCAUACCAGAAAGGGACGGCUAAAUACGUGCCAGCCGCCGCCGUAA